UGGGGAAUAUUGCACAAUGGACGGAAGUUUGAUGCAGCGACGCCGCGUGGAGGGUGUAGGCCUUCGGGUUGUGAACUCCUUUUUCUCGCGAAAAAGGCACAGUUUUGGCUGUGUUGAUGGUAGUGGGGGAAGAAGCGCCGGCUAACUACGUGCCAGCAGCCGCGGUAAUACGUAGGGCGCGAGCGUUGUCCGGAUUUAUUGGGCGUAAAGAGCUUGUAGGUGGUUCGUCGCGUCUGUCGUGAAAGCCAGCAGCUUAACUGUUGGUCUGCGGUGGGUACGGGCGGGCUUGAGGGCGGUAGGGGUGACUGGAAUUCCUGGUGUAGCGGUGGAAUGCGCAGAUAUCAGGAGGAACACCGAUGGCGAAGGCAGGUCACUGGGCCGUUACUGACACUGAGGAGCGAAAGCGUGGGGAGCGAACAGG
rnacentral:rRNA from 1 species